CUCGGACGGACGGGCGCGCGCACGCACACACUAAGGCGCGCGAGCCCUCAACUCAACGUUUUAAAGACGGACAAAAAAAGAGAUACUGGUACAGAAAACAGUGAACAGCUGAUAAUUGGGCACUGAGCAGCAUUUCCGAGAGCAUGACCAGUUCGCACUGUUCUACAACUGGCUAAGUGGUUGAGCUGAUGUUUACUGGAAGACAUGCAACAUCUUUGUAAACACUUGACCAUAAUACCCAUCUGGCAUCUGGAAAGUAUUCACAGCGCUUCUCUUUUUCCACAUUUUGUUAUGUUACAGACGUAUUCUAUAAAUUCAU